UACGCAGGGUGCGAGCGUUGUCCGGAAUUAUUGGGCGUAAAGAGCUCGUAGGCGGUGUGUCGCGUCGGCCGUGAAAACCUGCAGCUUAACUGUGGGCUUGCGGUCGAUACGGGCAUCACUGGAGUUCGGCAGGGGAGACUGGAAUUCCUGGUGUAGCGGUGAAAUGCGUAGAUAUCGUAAGGAAGACCAGUGGCGAAGGCGGGUCGCUGGACAGUUCCUGACGCUGAGGCACGAAGGCCAGGGGAGCAAACGGG
rnacentral:rRNA from 1 species